CGCGUAGGCGGCUCGGUAAGUCUGAAGUGAAAGUCCUGGCUUUAAGUUGGGAAUUGCUUUGGAUACUGUCGGGCUUGAGUGCAGGAGAGGUUAGUGGAAUUCCCAGUGUAGCGGUGAAAUGCGUAGAGAUUGGGAGGAACACCAGUGGCGAAGGCGACUAACUGGACUGUAACUGACGCUGAGGCGCGAAAGUGUGGGGAGCAAACAG
rnacentral:rRNA from 1 species